rnacentral:rRNA from 2 species
GAGGUGGGAUCCCGGCCCCUCGGGGUCGGGCGCACCACCGGCCCGUCUCGCCCGCACCGUCGGGGAGGUGGAGCGUGAGCGCGUGCGAUAGGACCCGAAAGAUGGUGAACUAUGCCUGGGCAGGGC